rnacentral:rRNA from 1 species
UACGUAGGGCGCAAGCGUUGUCCGGAAUUAUUGGGCGUAAAGAGCUCGUAGGCGGCUUGUCACGUCGAUUGUGAAAGCCCGAGGCUUAACCUCGGGUCUGCAGUCGAUACGGGGCUAGCUAGAGUGUGGUAGGGGAGAUCGGAAUUCCUGGUGUAGCGGUGAAAUGCGCAGAUAUCAGGAGGAACACCGGUGGCGAAGGCGGAUCUCUGGAACGCAACUGACGCUGAGACGCGAAAGCGUGGGGAGCAAACAGG